ensembl:lincRNA 1700030L20Rik RIKEN cDNA 1700030L20 gene
AAGACAUUUGGAAGAAGGGUUGUGAUGUAGGGCAAGAUCUGUAGCAUAGAAGGAAAGAGAGACAGGACCACUUGAACUAUGUCCUUUCUCUUAUCUAAAAUCUGGGGGAGCCAAAGACAGAGAUUAUAUAUUCAUCAGCAAUAGUCAUUUAAAGGAUGGAAUGAGUGUGUGUCUGGCAAGACAGGCUUGCUUCAGAUUCUAGAGAGUAGACAGUGGAGAGAAGUGUUUGAUAAAUGUUUUGGGGAUAAUAAGUAAUAGCAGAACGAGCACAAAACCAGCUAACUGACUUGUGCUUUGACAAGUGAUUCACGUGUAUUUGGUAGGAAAAGACUGAGCUCAAGUUCAACUCUCUUGUCCUUUUGCCUCUGAGGACAGCUGCACAAGAGAGCCAGAUCCCAUGAUGACAGUGCUGGAGAGCAUCAAGGCUGUGGCCCUUUCUGUGUGGAGUGAGCCCCACCCCAUGUGCUCACGAACUUGCUUCUCAGCUGGUGGAGCAGAUAUCAAAUAAAUUUAAAGAGCUCUUGCUCUUGCUCCUUCGCCUGCUUGCUGCGUGAGACUGAGUAACUGCUAGAUCCUUGGACUUCCAUUCACAGCUNNNNNNNNNNNNNNNNNNNNNNNNNGCUGCCGACUUGUUGAUUGACCCAGGAAUUGAAAUGUUUGCCCCUUCCUCACACUGUUCAACAAAAAGAUUGUGUUUUCACAGAUGAUGACUGAGGAUCUCCUCUAGUGUGGACUAGCCACGUGACUUCGCAUGAUCUAUUCAAACUCUCGGAGAACUUCAACUGAACAAAUCUCUGUCAGGGACCUUCUUGCAUCCAAUUCAGAUACAAGACACACCUCCAUUCCUGGUUCACUAUGCAGAGAUGUCAUAACUCCUGUGGUAGUUACCCCUGAAUCUAAUGUCAUCCAAGUUGUCUUCCUUCCUAAAUUUAUGUAUUACUGAUAACUUAUAAAUUUGGCUAUUAGAUAAU